AGUGAACGCUGGCGGUAGGCCUAACACAUGCAAGUCGAACGGCAGCACAGUAAGAGCUUGCUCUUACGGGUGGCGAGUGGCGGACGGGUGAGGAAUACAUCGGAAUCUACUUUUUCGUGGGGGAUAACGUAGGGAAACUUACGCUAAUACCGCAUACGACCUGCGGGUGAAAGCAGGGGAUCUUCGGACCUUGCGCGAUUGAAUGAGCCGAUGUCGGAUUAGCUAGUUGGCGGGGUAAAGGCCCACCAAGGCGACGAUCCGUAGCUGGUCUGAGAGGAUGAUCAGCCACACUGGAACUGAGACACGGUCCAGACUCCUACGGGAGGCAGCAGUGGGGAAUAUUGGACAAUGGGCGCAAGCCUGAUCCAGCCAUACCGCGUGGGUGAAGAAGGCCUUCGGGUUGUAAAGUCCUUUUGUUGGGAAAGAAAAGCAGCAGGUUAAUACCCCGCUGUUCUGACGGUACCCAAAGAAUAAGCACCGGCUAACUUCGUG
rnacentral:rRNA from 1 species